AAACAACAUUUAUCAACAGAUGUUUUGGCUCUUGCCUCGUUGAAGAAGACAGCGAAAAACGGUAAUUAAUAUGAAGAGCAGAAGUCAUCGAAUCAUCGUAUAUUUUAACACCCCCCCCGCUCCUCUGGUAUUUUGAGGGGCACACCCCUUUGAGAGUCCCUA
rnacentral:rRNA from 1 species